rnacentral:rRNA from 1 species
UGGGGAAUAUUGGACAAUGGGCGGAAGCCUGAUCCAGCAACGCCGCGUGAGGGAUGACGGCCUUCGGGUUGUAAACCUCUUUCAUCAUCGACGAAGCUCCAUGUUGAUUGGGGUGACGGUAGGUGGAGAAGAAGCACCGGCCAACUACGUGCCAGCAGCCGCGGUAAUACGUAGGGUGCGAGCGUUGUCCGGAAUCACUGGGCGUAAAGGGCGCGUAGGCGGCCUGAUAAGUAGGGGGUGAAAUCCUGCGGCUUAACCGCAGGGCUGCCUUCUAAACUGUCAGGCUAGAGCACAGUAGGGGCAGGUGGAAUUCCCGGUGUAGCGGUGGAAUGCGUAGAGAUCGGGAAGAACAUCAGUGGCGAAGGCGGCCUGCUGGGCUGUUGCUGACGCUGAGGCGCGACAGCGUGGGGAGCAAAACAGGAUUAGAUACC